CAGAUCAUCCCCACGCAGCUUCUUGCAGAGACUUGAUAAACAGCGGCGUCGCUCUGGGUACAGCUAGGAGGAGGACAGACAGGUGAGAAGACUGGACCAGAGUUAGAGGUGGAUUCCAAAUUGAGCUUCAGAUCCUGUCCUUCCUUCUGGAAGACUAUUCUGCUUCCUCGGUGCCGUACAGAUUAGGACACCCACAGGUGCAUUCUCCUUGUGUAUGCUAACAUCUACACGUAAGGAUGCACAGGGCUGUUCAAAAUGAAUACAGUCGGGAUCUUGGAUCUGAUAUGAAUACAAACUCCGAUCUACUAAAAUUGUCCUCAAACUGUGAUCCCAUGUUUGGUAGAUACUUCAAAAGGGCAAUGUACUUUGAGACUUAAAUGUAUUUAGAUCCCAGUUUCCAAUAUCUGGACCUGCUUGUUGGCCAUCAGCAUGUCUUAAUGCAGGGUGUGUCAAGAGGUUGCUACAGAAGGUUGGUCACAUCCUUGGUUUCACUUAGAGCACACAAGCUCUCCCUGUGUUCCCCUUAGCUGGCAUGCUGGUAUAAUCAGACUCUGUGCCUUUAGAACGUGGUUCUGGGUUGACUGAGGAAGGUUACCUUCGCACAAGGAAGAAGCUGUGGAAAGGAGAUAAUCUGAGCAGAAGCAAGUGAAGUGCUGGACCUGCUUUUUAAACAUCUAUUUUUAAAUGGUUGUCAGAUGUCUGUAACUGACACCCUUAAUUGGAAGUUCUGAAGUUUAAAUGUAUCCAUUAAAAUUUACUAAAAUGUAA